GGCCCAUUAGCUCAGUUGGUUAGAGCGCCGUGCUAAUAACGCGGAUGUCGCGGGUUCGAUCCCCUCAUGAGCCA
rnacentral:tRNA from 1 species